UUAACUCUAAUUUGUAUGGAGUUGAAACGUUUGCCUGCGUUUGCCGCUAGGGGCGCUGUUCCAGCUCCAUACAAAUUAGAGUUA
rfam:Bombyx mori DNA, contig: Bm_scaf73_contig31405, strain: p50T/Dazao, build 2, whole genome shotgun sequence.